AGAGUUUGAUCCUGGCUCAGAACGAACGCUGGCGGCAGGCUUAACACAUGCAAGUUGAACGGGAUUUGUGUGGUGCUUGCACCAUAUAAUGAGAGUAGCGCACUGGUGAGUAACACGUGGGAACGUACCUUUUGGUGGGGGACAACAUCUGGAAACGGAUGCUAAUACCGCAUAAGACCUGAGGGUGAAAGAUUUAUCGCCGAAAGAACGGCCCGCGGAAGAUUAGGCAGUUGGUGGGGUAAAGGCCUACCAAACCUACGAUCUAUAGCUGGUCUGAGAGGACGAUCAGCCACACUGGAACUGAGACACGGUCCAGACUCCUACGGGAGGCAGCAGUGAGGAAUAUUGGGCAAUGGAGGCAACUCUGACCCAGCCAUGCCGCGUGAGUGAAGAAGGUUUUCGGAUUGUAAAGCUCUUUCGGAUGUGACGAUGAUGACGGUAGCAUCUAAAGAAGCCCCGGCUAACUUCGUGCCAGCAGCCGCGGUAAUACGAAGGGGGCGAGCGUUGUUCGGAAUUACUGGGCGUAAAGGGUGUGUAGGCGGUUAUGUAAGAUAGCGGUGAAAUCCCGGGGCUUAACCUCGGAAUAGCCGUUAUAACUAUGUAGCUAGAGUUAUGGAGAGGAUAGCGGAAUACCCAGUGUAGAGGUGAAAUUCGUAGAUAUUGGGUAGAACACCGGUGGCGAAGGCGGCUAUCUGGCCAUAUACUGACGCUGAGGCACGAAAGCAUGGGGAUCAAACAGGAUUAGAUACCCUGGUAGUCCAUGCUGUAAACGAUGAAUGCUGGUUGUCGGCUUUAGGG
rnacentral:rRNA from 1 species